AACGCAGCCAUGCUUUGCAGAAGCUAGAGCAUUGCUCAUACUGGUAUCCACUACUCGCCUGCCGGAGUCGUCCGAUUGUCCAUCGCUACACCGAAAUAACCGGGAAUACAAGUUGCUUUGCUAAGACCAAAAAUAACUACACCAUAUAGUGACGUGAAAGACAACACAAACGAAUGGAUACACGAAAAGACUAUAAGAUGGACCAUAUGGCGAGAGAUGAUAUUUGAUGGAGGAAUACGACGAGGUUGAAGUCUACAUCUGUCCGAAGCUUUUUUGAAGAGACGAUCAAACGUCCCGGCUCUCUUUUUUUGCCUCCCGAGAUGAAUUCGGACUAACCAUCAUUUUGAAACUCGCCACCAAAAAACAGCGCUAGUGACGACUUUAACCCAUUACGCACCAAGUUCAAUGCCCGCGGGCCUUCAAUAGGCUUAGCCUAUUGCAAACAUUUUUCAAAUUUUGCCAAAUUACAUUCAGUUUUCACGGUGGGGUAAUGUAUAUACAUUUAUCAGCAACUUUGUCUACCAUUACAGAAUGAUUGGCUGUUUUGGGAGUCCAACUUCAAAGAACAAUGACAUCGACAUUGACAAGAUGUAUAUCCACAUAACUAUACUAUAACUAUGAAGGAACGGGUGGGUACAUUGAACAAGGAAUAGUAUGAGUCGAAGUGGUCACACACACACGCACACACACACACACAGAGAGGGAUCUGAGGUUCUGGUUCUGGCUUUCCGUGUUCACAGCGGACCUUGAUUUAAUGUCUUACAAUUAAGGCACGCGGUGAAUGCCAAGAGCGGAGCCUGCUAUCGUCGGCGCGAGAGCACACAGCUUUCAUUAAAACAACACGCUAAAGGGAUAACGGAAACGCUUUGUGUGUCUGCAAUUGUUGUCUGUAAAUUGCCCUCUAUUUUGUAUUGUUUUCUUUUUUCAGAAUAAAGAAAUUGUACCCAAUA